AAGUCGUAACAAGGUUUCCGUAGGUGAACCUGCGGAAGGAUCAUUAAUGAAUUAUGAAAGGGGUUGUCGCUGGCUGUUAGCAGCAUGUGCACGCUCUGAUCAUUAUCCAUCUUACACACCUGUGCACACACUGUAAGUCGGCUUUUGAUGCAAAGUAAGGGUCUUCAUUGACUCUGCUUUAAAUUGGGAGCCUGCUUAUGUUUUAUCACACACUACUUCAGUUUAAAGAAUGUCAAAUCGCGUUUAACGCAUUUAAAUACAACUUUCAGCAACGGAUCUCUUGGCUCUC
rnacentral:misc_RNA from 1 species